rnacentral:rRNA from 1 species
GAUGAACGCUGGCGGCGUGCCUAAUACAUGCAAGUCGAGCGAACGGACGAGAAGCUUGCUUCUCUGAUGUUAGCGGCGGACGGGUGAGUAACACGUGGAUAACCUACCAUUAAGACUGGGGUAACGUCGGGAAACCGGAGCUAAUACCGGGUAAUAUUUUGAACCGCAUGGUUCAAAAGUGAAAGACGGUCUUGCUGUCACUCAUAGAUGGAUCAGCGCUGCAUUAGCUAGUUGGUAAGGUAACGGCUUACCAAGGCAACGAUGCAUAGCCGAUCUGAGAGGGUGAUCGGCCACACUGGAACUGAGACACGGUCCAGACUCCUACGGGAGGCAGCAGUAGGGAAUCUUCCGCAAUGGGCGAAAGCCUGACGGAGCAACGCCGCGUGAGUGAUGAAGGUCUUCGGAUCGUAAAACUCUGUUAUUAGGGAAGAACAUAUGUGUAAGUAACUGUGCACAUCUUGACGGUACCUAAUCAGAAAGCCACGGCUAACUACGUG